rnacentral:rRNA from 1 species
CACGUAGGGGGCAAGCGUUGUCCGGAUUUAUUGGGCGUAAAGAGCUCGUAGGUGGCUGAGUAAGUCGGAUGUUAAAUCCCCAGGCUCAACCUGGGACACCACCCGAUACUGCUCUGGCUAGAGUCCGGUAGGGGAGCGUGGAAUUCCUAGUGUAGCGGUGAAAUGCGCAGAUAUUAGGAGGAACACCAGCGGCGAAGGCGGCGCUCUGGGCCGGUACUGACACUGAGGAGCGAAAGCGUGGGUAGCAAACAG